GGAGGGAUGACCGAGUGGCCGAAGGUGCACGAUUGGAAAUCGUGUGUACUGAAAGGUACCGAGGGUUCGAAUCCCUCUCCCUCCGCCG
rnacentral:tRNA from 1 species